AGGGUUUGAUUAUGGCUCAGGAUGAACGCUAGCUACAGGCUUAACACAUGCAAGUCGAGGGGCAUCAGGGCAUUAGCUUGCUAAUGCCGCUGGCGACCGGCGCACGGGUGAGUAACACGUAUCCAACCUGCCUUCAACUCAGGGAUAGCCUUUCGAAAGAAAGAUUAAUACCUGAUAGUAUGUAUUUUCCGCAUGGCCUUUACAUUAAAGGAUUCCGGUUGAAGAUGGGGAUGCGUUCCAUUAGAUAGUUGGCGGGGUAACGGCCCACCAAGUCCACGAUGGAUAGGGGUUCUGAGAGGAAGGUCCCCCACAUUGGAACUGAGACACGGUCCAA
rnacentral:rRNA from 1 species